GAUGAAGAACGUAGCGAAAUGCGAUAAGUAAUGUGAAUUGCAGAAUUCAGUGAAUCAUCGAAUCUUUGAACGCACAUUGCGCCCCCUGGUAUUCCGGGGGGCAUGCCUGUCCGAGCGUCAUUACAACCCUCAAGCUCAGCUUGGUGUUGGGCCCUGCCGCCCCGGCGGGCCCUAAAGUCAGUGGCGGUGCCGUCCGGCUCCGAGCGUAGUAAUUCUUCUCGCUCUGGAGGUCCGGUCGUGUGCUCGCCAGCAACCCCCAAUUUUUUUCAGGUUGACCUCGGAUCAGGUAGGGAUACCCGCUGAACUUAAGCAUAUCAAUAAGCGGAGGA
rnacentral:misc_RNA from 1 species